rnacentral:lncRNA from 1 species
CGAGUAUUAAACCUGGGAUGAAAUCCGCACAUUUAAGCAAAAAGACCUCGAGAGCUAUCCACUAUCCAAAGGCAUGGAAAAGAUAUAAUAAUUUAUUCAGGAAGUACCCCAAUCUUGAUAUUCCUAAACGAGCGCAAGUAUACAUCUUAUGCUAUGGAAUACGCCAAAAAUUCAAGAAUAUGGUUGAUACUUCAGUGGGAGGAUCGAUAACGACUAUAAAUAUAGACGAAGCUUAUGAGCUGUAUGAGAGAAUAGCAAAAAAUCAAUCGAUAUGACCGAGCGACAGGGAAGUCCAGAGGAAAAUAGCUUGUAUAUAUAAUGUGGACACAGUGACAGUUUCGACAGCACAAAUGGAGGCAAUAACUAGAAAGCUUGACACUUUGACCCAUUCUGUGAACAUAAUACAAACUCCAGCUCCGAUUUGUGUAGGUUGUGGGGCAGAUCACAUCAUUGCAAGCUACCCUAUGGCUUUUACUCAUAUAAGUCAGCCAAUAGAGAUCAAUUAUACACAAAACUAUCGAAGGCAAAAUGGACCUUACAUAAACAACUACCAUUUGAGUUUGAACAAGCAUCCCAACUAUACGUGGGUGGAUAAUUCAGAUCAAAUAAAUCAGAUGAGGAGCAAUUCACCAGUGAUUCACCAACAAGAAGAAAAUAGGCAAUCCUUAGACGAUCUAAUUGUCAAGUACAUCACCAAGACUGAGACGACGAUACAGAAUCAACAAGCCACUAUACAUAGCUUAGAGAAUUAGGUGGGACAAAUAGCAGCUGCAUUAGCCAACAUGCGACAAGGUACCUUGCCUAGUGACACAGAGAAGAAUCCACAAAAGUACGUAUUAGUAGUUGAAGCUAUGAAUUAUGCAAUUAUUGAGACACCAUCAAUCAAGCCUACUACAUCUGUUCCAGCUUAUGUGCAGCCUAUCCCAUUUCCCCAAAGGCUUCAAAGACAACCUAAAAAGGAUCAAGUCUAAGCUAUCACAAUGAGAAGCGAAGUUCAAUUGCUAGAAAUAACAGUGAAGAAAAAAGGGGCCGAGGAGAAUCAAGCAUCUACCACGGAAGAAGAACAAGUGGGUUGAUCUGAAAAAUCAUCAAAUGUUAAUCAAGAAAAACAGUCACACAAUCCACAGGUCAAGGCAACCGUUCUCGUCAAUAAAUACACGCCUUUAGUUCUAUUCCCUCAAAGGUUACAAAACAAUAAACCGGACAAACAAUUUAAGAAGUUCUUAGUGCCCUUGGACAACUUCACAUCAACAUUCCUUUUAUUGACGUCAUUCUACUAAUUCCAAACCAUGCUUAGUUUUUGAAGGAGAUGUUUACUAAUAGCUUUAUCUAAAGAAUGUAACGCUAUCAUUCAGCACAGGAUUCCUCCCAAACUUAAAGAUCCAGGAAGUUUUACUCUACCUUGCU